CAGAUAAAGCUUCUUUUCCGAACUGGCUUUGACAAGGCGGAACUCAAGGGCUGUACGGCAGUCAUCCAUGUCAGCGUGUACCAGACAAUCAAAGAGAUUAGAUAAAAACUAUCAGAAAUCAGGUUGGAUUACCCACCCCUUAACAAAGAAGCCAUACAGGAUGUAAGAAAACUAUGGGAAGAUUCAUCCAUCCAGGAAACUUGCUUGUGUGGAAGUGUGCUGCUGCUGCAAGUUCCUGACUGUGCACAGUACUUCAUGGACAAUCUGGACCGAUUAGCUGAAGCAGAUUACGUACCAACAAAGGUGUUGUUAACCACUCGUUUACUUCAGCAUGAACAUCAUCUUGGUCGGCCUAUUAACCAAAAUCUAGGUAGCCUUUUGAUGGAUUUCCUGUAUUUUUUGUGUGUAAGUGAGUAUUUAUGAACACUUCAUUGUUUAAAACACAAGGGAAAAGAUGAGUGCCUGAUGUGGAAAAGGCAUGUAAUGAAUGACUAUAUGGGCCCAGUGUAUGGUUUCUCUUUUGGGACGGCUAAAUUAGCAAUAUAUUGGUGCAUCUGACCUCUAGCCGCUUUCAAACAUUCUGGAUGACAUGAAUGUAUUUGAUCCACGCCAUAAGCGUAUUUCCAUCCAAGGAAGUGGAAUUUAUUUGAACUGAGAAAGAGGGCACAGCAUUGAUCCAAUUCACAUCGAUGAUCCUCUUUGCCCUGCUAACAACGUGCGCAAGAAUUAUUUCCGGGUCCACCACUGCAUCAAGGUUGGCUCAAAUUAUCUUUUCUGGACUGGUUGAAUCCUUCUGUUGUUGUCUAGAGCUUUUGGAGUUGUGGCAAUGCUGUGAUUAUGCUCUUUUAUCUGGUAAUUUGUUUGACCGGACAAUCUUGGUAUUGAAAUUUAGUCUUUGUGCGGUACUAGUACUAAUGCAUUCCUUGUCUGGCCUUUAAAGAUAUAAAUAUUUGUCCGGCAAUCACGGAUCAACAAGUGCUAUUGGUAUUUUCUGAUGCUUUUCAUGGCAGGCUUUUGCUGAUGCUUUUGCAGUUCUAGAGAACGAGCUACUGCAGUUCAUUGCAGAAUGUAACACGCCCGCAUCAUCAUUCAGCCUACUGAAGAAAAUAAUUCCAAGCAUUGAUUCCAAUGAUAUGUAGCAGUAAAAAGAACCUAUGAUUCCACGAGCUGCAGGAACUGUUGGGUUGGAAUGGCCUCCUGUGUUCUAGACACCGAGUUACUACUGCAGCUGGUGGAAAAGGAGGCUUGUUCUAAUGUAUGAUGCCAGCCACCCUCCUCUCGCCUCUGGCUGCUGAGCACCCGAGACUGUUAAUUGAUGUAUUAGGCGGAGGAAUUGGAUGAUUCGAGAGCAAGAUGGGGGGUGCACUCUGCACACAUAAGUUCCUUAACCUCGUGCCGGUGGUAUGUGCUGCCAAGGAUGUGACAUGGACAUGGACACGGUCACGGAGGAGCAGUACAAGCAGACCCGCACAGAACUCUUGACCCGGAGAAGCACGCAGGAUAAGCUCUAGCAGAGGCUCUGCAUGUUUUCUGAAUCAUCUGUUCCCUGAACCUUACGAAACCGCUGAAGAAAACAGGAGCAAUAUCCGUCGGUAUGGAGGGCAAGUCCUUGGUGCUUUUGGCAGUCUGCAUGAGCUUGUGGAACAAGAAAUGGAGAAUUGCUAUGGAGGAGGCUACCUGACUUGAUGCUGGAACUGGUGACCGGUAUUGGCGGAGCAAUUUUCCAAACAGAUGUUUCUCCCGAUGAACAAGAUUCUUCCUUGAACACACCAAAAGGGUAGCUGUGAAGAUUACUGCCGGGAUCCGAGUGUCGGAUUCUUCGUUGCAGUUACCCGCACCGUGUUUGCUGAGUUGGCCUCUUUGAGAAACAAGUCAGGGCAAGCUUAUUGAUAUGAUGUGCAAAACUACAAGCACGACGGACAAGGUUGGUAUGUCUUACAAAAACAGGCUUCAGUUCCUUCGACUGAUGAGACUCAAGUUACCACUGCUUUUGUAGUGAAAGCAGACUUCCGUUCCUGCGGUUGAUUGGGUUUAAGUUACCGCCGCUUUUGCAGUGUACUUCCAACACUAAUUCAUCACUAGCACGUUGUUAAUUCACUGUGGUGAUGUUCUUCUAGUAACCAUUAAUACUAUUACCAAAGGGAAAAAGUCUAUUUCAAACCUUAAACUUGUAGUGGUCGGGCGAAACAAACCCUCAAGUUGAAAUCCCGGUCAAUUGCACCCUGAACUUUGCAAUCCCGGUCUAAAUUGAACCUUCGGGUCAUUUUCCAAACAGGGAUUGUUGACGUGGCAAAGGAUGACCGGGAUUGGGGAGGAAACGCCCGCGGGUGGGCAGGCCCAGUUUGCGGCAGUGCGUGCUGCGCGUUUUUGCUUCCGUUUUUUUGGUCGUUAUUUUUUCUGUUUUUCUUUCCUGGUUCUUUUUUCUUUUCGUUUUUAUUUUUCUUUUAUAUUUAUAAUAUUUUCUUUUUUCUUUUUUAUGAUUUUUUUUAUUUUUACUGUUUCUUUUUCCCUAUAUUAUACAAAGUUCAUUGCGUGUUACAAAAAUGUUCAUUGCAUAUUUAGCAAUGUUCACGGUAUAUUACACAAAAGUUCAUCAUGCA